UACUGAAUAGAUCCAAUAUAUUCAUGCACAAUGUAUAGACUGCAAAAAACAACAAUUACAUUUUAGAUGUUACACACUCAUAUGAAUGUGCUUAAACAUCAAUUUGGCAAAUUCUAACUUUAUGAAAGGUUAAGAGAUUCUCGUAUUUCCAAUUAAUUUUAUGUGCUAUAUCCUGUGAUAUAUUUCACCCUGAAUUUACAUGCUAACAGCUGAAGUCACUAAAAAUGAAUAACUACUCCCUUAAAGUGCCAGGCUCUGUAUCUGAUGAACCAGGCGACUGCAUUUGAGACUAUUGGUGACAGAUGUCUGUGGGAUCUCACCUGCUGAGCACACUGAGAGUCGCAGGGGAGAGACCCUUUUACUCACAAACACUGUCACUGUCGAGGUAAUUAGUCCCUUCGGCGCCAAUGCUUUCAUGGAAGCCACAUUCAUUUUUAUAAAGUCAUCUAUUGUUGCAUACUGUUGCCAUUUCCAGUCUGUUGAUACUGAUGCAAAAGAGCUAACUGUGUAUAGUUAAAAAAAUUUUUUUUAAAAAUCAGUACAUCAAACGCAUCACAUUUUGCCUUAUUAAAAAUUAUGGCAGUGAAGGCUAUGUUAGUUCUAAAGCUUUAGCAAAAAUACACACAGUCCUGUGUACAUAAAACUGGGGAACAUAAAACUAGCCUUGAAAGCACACAAAAUCCACACACCUUUAAAAUAUCUAAAUACAUAAUUUGGCACAUAAUACAAGUCUUUUCCAUUAUUUAACACAUUGUUCUUUUGUAGCCACUCAAGGGGAUGGUGCUUUGCACACAGUAGUCACCUCUGGGGCACACUAGGGUAAAGAACUACACAGGGCAAAUAUAAUGAAGCCUGGAAAUAAAAUUGCAUAAAAUAGCCUUUGAAAAUUGGUCUGUGCUGCGUAACUACCGUACAUUGUACCAGAUUCACGCUGCUAUAAAGAGCUGUGCUACUAAGAUGACACAUAUUUGGUAAAAAAAAA